rnacentral:lncRNA from 1 species
AUAAUUAAUUAAUAUAUCCAUGAAGAUGAUUAGACUGUCAAUUGAAUAAGUUGAUAGUAUCUCUGGAUAUCCUAGCUGUUAGUUUCUGACUAUUUAUCAAAACCAUUCCUUCUAGUAUCAUUUAAUAGGUGACCACUAUUAUGUACAACAUCAUGAUUUUUUUCGAGAAAGAAAACAAAUAUCUUCUUAUCGGUGUUAUGAAACCUUACUGAUUUCCUUGUAAUAAUCUAUGAAUAAGCCCCACAUGCAUCUCUACGUCCUAUUAUUUCUCUUUAUCUUUAUUUCAUAAUCCUUAAUUUCAUCUCUCCUUGCUAGUUCUGAAAUUGACUUCGCAUCAGCCAACAUUUGUCUGUUUAUUCUUUCUCUUAACACGUAAAUCCUCAGGUUCAGAAUGAUGAUACUAGCUAGUGCUUAUGGUAUGACUUAUGAUCCACUGAUUUAGAUAUGUAAAACUUAAAUGUUCUUGCAAGUACUUAUGAAGCGAAUCCAUCAUUCUUUGCAGUGCCAAAAUUUCUUACAUAUUCAUCUUUGGGAGAAAGAUCAAGGCAUAUAGUGGGCUACUUCUGCAAAAGGAGGUACGACAGCAUGAUUCCAGCUGGGUAGUAAACGUGUAGGUGAUUUACAUGACAUUAUCUGCAAUGUAAUUUAAAAACCGAGGUUGAAAAAGUUUGUGUAUUCAUAAUUCAGAUUUGUCUUAUUCCCAAGCAUCUAUAUAAAUUAAAAUCAUGUGAAAACAUACUUGUUAUCAUUUAAUAGAACCACCUAAUUUAGCUUUGUGGGAACUAUGUUCUCUCAACCUAAAAAGCACGGACACGGGGACGGAAAGACGGGGAUACGCAUACAAGGACACGGGAUACAUCAUAUUUCAAAAACAGUCAUUCGGGGAUACGGUGAGUAUAUAUAAAAUAAAUAAGAAAUAUACAGAGUCAAAACAGAAAAAAACAAUGAGACACUGCUGGGUCUGGAUCCCACAGAGGAUAGUUCGUAUCUACGAACACCAGGGACCAGGCUGUCCUUUGAUCUCACCCACGGACGGGUGGCCCCGGGGGUGGCGCUCCCGGAUGCCAUGCUCCCUAGAAACAAGUAGAAAUCAUUCAAGCGAGCACAACAUGGGGAAGCAAUUAGCAGCCUCUCAAUUGAAGGAAAUCAUGUCACAAAGAUGAAGAGGUUGAGGAGAGGCUGCUGGCCUUGGGGUUACCUGCUCGAGUGUGGUUGCCUUCGGGAGGAGAAGCUGCUGGGGGCGGUGGUCGAGUCCAGGUGGCGGCGGCGCGUUCGCUGCUGGUUAGCAGCAGGUCCUUCGUUAUGUGGCGUGCGUGCGUACGAGAGUUUGUAUUGUGCCGAGGCUAUUAUUGGGCCUCCCGAGUCCCUCAACGUAUCCCAGCCGUAUCGAUGCUUUUUUCUAUUUUUUUAAUUCAGGAAUCAUGGGAUGCUGCGGGAUACGUGUAUCCCAGCUUAUCCAGGCGUGUCGCCGUAUCCCGCUGUACUAGGACAUCAAAUCGGCAGAUUUUGCAGUAUCCAUGCUUUGUAGCUCUCAACUUCAAGUACUUCUGGAAAUUUGAAAAUCUCUACAUUUAUAUGUAUUGUUUUGAGAACUGCAGAUCUUUGUUUGCAAUCAAGGAUGCUAUAUUUGUCGAUGUACAUAGUUUUUGGCAUGUACCUCACUGUAUCUUCAUUAUAUUCUUUGUAAGGUGUUUAACUCGUUUAACAUAAGGACGCUCUUUUCAAAAGGCCCUCUUUUCUCCGUCUAUAUAGCAUAGUGCUAUGGCUGGGACUGUAAAAAGUGAUCAAAUUAUGAUAUUUCAUAGCUCUUUAGAGGUGAUGGUAUAUGUUGGAUGACGAAACAAGGAUAUUGUUCUGGUGCUUGCUUCGACUUGGGUGUUCAGAGAAGUGAAACUUUAACUAAUCUGUUCAGGGAAGCAACAUAUUGCAUUUAAAGUGAAGCUUCCUCUAUGAUAUGGAGAUGCAAUCAUCCAUCUAAAGACAAGGUAUGCUCAUUUCUCUAUUGUGUGAAUUCAACAUGGCUGAGCAACAAUUUAUUUGCUCAUACUUUUUUCAAUAUUAAUGCUUAUUGCAGUUCCUGCUUAGCUUGGGAAAUCCAAAGAAGAAUGUUGCCCUUGCUACACUCCAGAGUACUGACCUAUAAUAUAAAACAAAAAACUAUGGGUGUUGACUUGGUACUCCCUCCGGGAGUAACUGUUUCUUGGUUAACAUAACCACUAAAACAAAAUUAUUAGUCAUAUAGUAAGAUUAACUAUCACAUGUCCUCCAACCUUUAUAUGUUGCUCUUUUGUUUAAAUUUUACUUCCCUGUUAAUUGAUUUUCUUUGAUGGUACCUUGCUAUUCUCAUUUCUUUGUUGUUGUAGAUUGCCAAGAUAAAUCGAUGAUGCAUGGCUCAGAAGUUGAUUACAAGAUCGAGAAGGUGGCUACUACUAGAUAGUUUCAGAUUAUGUUUUGGAAUGUAAUUUUUAGGGUCAAUGUUUCAAACACUAUGUGUUUAGAUGGCUGAGUCGUUCAGUGCAAGGUUGAGAAUCAGACUAUUACUAGAUAGUUUCACAUAUUGUAAUCUGUGUAUCAUGUUCUUUGUAAAGCAAUCAAGUUGAUUUAAUAUAUGUGACCUUUCUUAUUG